rnacentral:rRNA from 1 species
CCCUUAGAUGUUCUGGGCCGCACGCGCGCUACACUGAUGCAUUCAACGAGCCUAUCCUUGACCGACAGGUCCGGGUAAUCUUUGAAUCUGCAUCGUGACGGGGAUAGAUUAUUGCAAUUAUUAAUCUUCAACGAGGAAUGCCUAGUAGGCGCAAGUCAUCAGCUUGCGUCGAUUACGUCCCUGCCCUUUGUACACACCGCCCGUCGCUACUACCGAUUGGAUGGUUUAGUGAGAUCCUCGGAUUGGUCCCGGCGCGGCCUCUGGUCGUGCCGGAGUGCCGAAAAGAAUGUCGAACUUGAUCAUCUAGAGGAAGUAAAAGUCGUAACA